rnacentral:rRNA from 1 species
UACGUAGGGUGCAAGCGUUGUCCGGAAUUAUUGGGCGUAAAGAGCUCGUAGGCGGUUUGUUGCGUCGGCUGUGAAAUCCCGAGGCUCAACCUCGGGUCUGCAGUCGAUACGAGCAAACUAGAGUGUUGCAGGGGAGACUGGAAUUCCUGGUGUAGCGGUGAAAUUCGCAGAUAUCAGGAGGAACACCGGUGGCGAAGGCGGGUCUCUGGGCAACAACUGACGCUGAGGAGCGAAAGCGUGGGGAGCGAACAGG